rnacentral:tRNA from 1 species
AACUUUGUAGUUUAUAAAAAACGUUGAAUUGCAAAUUUAAAGAAGAGCUGUUGCUCCAAGGUGU